GAGGAGCUGUCCUUAGUACGAGAGGACCGGGAUGGACACACCGCUGGUGUACCAGUUGUCUUGCCAAAGGCAUCGCUGGGUAGCUAUGUGUGGACGGGAUAAGUGCUGAAAGCAUCUAAGCAUGAAGCCCCCCUCAAGAUGAGAUUUCCCAUAGCGCAAGCUAGUAAGAUCCCUGAAAGAUGAUCAGGUUGAUAGGUCAGAGGUGGAAGCGUGGCGACAUGUGUAGCUGACUGAUACUAAUCGAUCGAGGACUUAACCAAAC
rnacentral:rRNA from 1 species